UUUCAUUAGUCUGAUUCAAUUGAAAGUAAAAUAUAAAUGAGACAAUUAAUUAAUGCAGAUAAAUAAACUUUGUUGCACCAAUUUAUUAUGGCAGUUAGGGAUUAGCCUCUUCAUCUCCCAGCUGCAAGAGGGCAUCCAUCUCUUCCUUGAACUUGGGCAUAGCAGCUCUUGGGAGAGAAAUAAGCACUCUAACUCCACCUUUCAUUGAACUAUCCAAAUUGGAAGGCGGCAAGAAAAUACACAAAUCCACAUAACCAAACAUGUUCCAUGGCACUGGGAUUAUGUUCACUGCAGCCUUCCAUCCAAAAUCUACUUCCUCCAACAGACCCAGUUGCCUCCAAUCUGUCAAAACCAUGACUGCACCACUCCCAGCUUCAAUCUUGAUAUUUUUCUCUAUUAAUGUCUCCAUAAUAUUUAUGCGAUUCCAAAUGUAGUCUGAAUUAGAAGCAAGUUUCUUGCUUUCUUUGAUGAGUUUGACAGCUUCAGAAAGUGGUCCUUCAUUGAGAUUCCUACCCAUUAAGUCCACAGUUGAAGAUGAAAUGGCAUUUCCAUAGUACCCACUAGGCAAAGGUGGAUUCAAAAGUUGCCUUAUCCCCAUAGUUAAGAAGAAGAUGGUUUUCCCAUCUGGGUUCAGCUUGAAAGCUCUAAACCUUGACCUCCAAAUGUAGGCACCAAGCACUUCAAGAGUGGAGAAACUUUCUUUCGUUACUCCAUUCUCAUCACGUAAUUCCUGCAUUAGGUUCAUUUUCAGUCUUCUUAUACUCUCACUGUUCACGUAAAAGCAUUCAUGCAAGAUGUCAGUCGUUGGCAAAUAUGGCGAUUUUGCUAAACCAGCGCUUUCAACUAUUGGGGGUAAGGGUUCCUGAGUAGCUUUUCCUACCAGUCUUUCCCUUUCCCACACGGGUUUUAACGUAGGCUCAGUCUUUCCACUUGCAAACUCGGCCAUGGCUCUGAAAAAUUGAGAUGCACCAAACCCAUCACACACUGAGUGUGAUAAGCCCAUUCCAAUAGUGAAACCCCCACAUGAAAAUUUGGUCACCUGAAAUACUAGAGGGUAAUAACCAGACUCAAUCUUUGAUGGAAAAUCAAAAACAAAUUGUUUGGCAAUGUCAACAUCAAUACCAUCCAAGUAAUGAAGAGAAGAAAGCUGGCAAUUAGCAGUUGCCUCCAAGAAUGGCACACCAUCUCCACUGCAGGUGAUAUUUAGUCUACCAUCACUAUUCCUCUUGAGCUUUCCAGCUAGAGGAUAGUACUGCACUAAAACAUUGGAAAUGGCAUCUUUAAUCACACAGGCAGGGUCUGAGUCUGCUCCUUUACAAUUAAACUUUGAUGCAAUACCAUCACGAUGAUGAGCAUUACCAUUAGAAAGAAUGGGCUUUGCUUGGUAUACAUAAAUGCUUUGACAUAAAAGCUCAAGGUUACGAUCAUUAUCGAUACUAGAGAAAGAAAGAACUUCAAAGGGGGUAGGUUUCGCUGGUUUAACAAGCUCAACAUCCUUUCUUUCAAGAAGAAAGGGCAUGUUAUUAUGGUGGGUUGCCAUGGAAUGAAGAUGUGGGUGUGAGAAUCUAAUUGAUAAUAAGAGGGUAAUUACAAUGAGA
rnacentral:misc_RNA from 1 species